rnacentral:tRNA from 1 species
AGGGAUUUAGCUCAGUGGUACAGCACCCGCCUGGCAAGCAGGAGGUCCUACGUUCAAUUCCUGGUACCUCCA